UUUUAAAUUGAGAGUUUGAUCCUGGCUCAGGACGAACGCUGGCGGCGUGCCUAACACAUGCAAGUCGAGCGAUGAAACUUCCUUCGGGAAGUGGAUUAGCGGCGGACGGGUGAGUAACACGUGGGUAACCUGCCUCAAAGAGGGGGAUAGCCUCCCGAAAGGGAG
rnacentral:rRNA from 1 species